CUCGUCCUCAAUCGGUCCACUACGCUUCUGGGAAAUUUCUUUCCAUCUUUGUACCUUUCAACACGUCAUGCUUCCUUCAACUACCGCUUGAAUUAGGUUUCCGAUCGUCCCCGAUUUGGUUCUGCUUCUCGUUUCGUGAUCCAUCGACGACUGUGGUUUAGGUUUAGGGUAUAGAUUUCACCAUGUCAGAUUCCGAUUCUUCCUCUUAUGGCGGCGAAUACAAAAACCUCAAACAAAUUAGUCGCGAGAGAUUAUUACAUGAAAUGCUCAGGUCAGCGAAAACAGGGGAUUCAAAAUCUACAUGGAAGGUAUAGGA